UCUGAGGCUUUCUCCCAAGGCCUUAGACAAGCCUCUGACACCCGGCCUUCCUCAUUCACAUGGGCCUGUGCUCUUGGUCUCCCAGACCAAUGCCUGUGCCCGCACUCGUAUGAGCGGGACCCUGUCUUCCAAGCUCUUCCACGAUCCUUGUCGUGGUUCGGAUGUUAAAAUGCGCGAAAAGCUAUUUCUAAGGGUGCUGAAGAGGGGUGAAACAAAAGACCCAGCCGAGGUUUCCAAAAGCUGAUAAAUUAAUUGAUCUUUUUAAAUUGGGGGGGGGGAGGUGAGGGAAGAAAUACAAACGCAAAGACGUUUUGCUUAUAAUUAUUCACCCCAGCCAGAAGCGACAGAACGAGUGUGAAAUACAUAGCAGGAAUCCAUGAUUCAAUCGCGUCGCUGCAAAGUGGCAUAUGGUUCUGGGGACAUUUUCCUCUCCUCCAUCCAGCCCUCCCUAUGUUACUCUGCACCGAGGAAUCAUCUCUGUCCCUAUAAAACGAGAAUGACACACGUUUUCGAGUGGAUAAAGCACAGGGCACCCAGCUGUAAAUAAAAAUAAAAAUAAAAAAUCCAAAACUGCAUCUUCUCCUACGAACAGCCCCGCUUUAAUUACCUAUGCUGCAGAAUAAGCCCAAAUGGGGGGCCUCGUUGCCUCCUCAUCUGUCUCAUCCAGCCCUGCAAUUACACUGAUACUGGCGAGGAUUUAUUUUUGCAGACAUUGCUGCCUC
rnacentral:lncRNA from 1 species